CACCUAUAACGUUCUUGGCUCUAUAACCUCGGCGUGCCUAGAGGACCAAGGUGAACGCCAGCAAGGAGUGAUUAAUUCUUCUCCUAACGCCCUUGGAGAUCAUAACACACGUGGACGCUGCCAAUAAGACUGGCAGUGUUGGCAUCAGCCGCCGCCCUCACCUGCAGGCUGACACGCACACGCCACGCACGCAACGCACAUACACCUGUCACGCACGCAAGGUAAAGCUGGGGAGGACUGAUGGAAGAGCAAGAGGAAAGCAGAGGAAGAAAUGUAUGGAGACCUUGCUGGAAAGUAUCAACAUGGGAUGGAACGCCGUGGAUCUGGUUAGGAUGGCGGAAAGAAGAAAGGAUUGGCGCUUCAUGUUCGCUGACGUCACAUGACAAGUACUUAGACAAGCAAAGCGAGAGGCACUGAAGACACGCUACCCUCACACAAACCCUCACCGUGGUCCUGCCGUACACGUAGAGGUCCACGGCAAUGUAUUCCUUGAGGUCCAGCCACACGGGGUACAGCUGCUCAGUGAAGAAGGCCUUGCUCUUCGGGGACAGUGACUCAUAGUACACGGAAACUUUUGUCUUCUUCGAAUUCUGAGCAAAGGGAGAGUGAGAUAAGUUAACCAGCCAGCAGACACUCACCGCAGGGGCCGCGUGGGUCAUCAGAGGUAGCAGGGUCAGCAGCAGCAGCAGGCGUCUGAGAGCCAUGGUGGAGCCAGGGAUGAGUGACGAGGCGGCAGGGAAUGUGGAGCAUAUUAUAUACCUUCAUUUAACUCUAAGCUCUCGUGAUUUAGUCAGCCAUUUACCAAUUUUCAACUCCAUCACUCGCUUUAAAUUCCGAAUUAAUAGUUUACCAAAUUAAUAAUAAUUGUUUAUGUAAUGCGUGGGUUGUGACGCAUUUGUCAGGGAUUUUGUGUUCUCUCCCCCCAUUCAGGGCUGAGUCACCGUGAUAUGGAGGUGGAUAAGGCAUUCAUGAAUAAAUAUAGUAACAUUUAUCCAUAUUCAACUUCGUAUGAAGAACGAUAAAGGAAUUAAAUAUAACCAGGUGAGUUUUAUUGGAGAUGGUAAUUGAUAUACACCUACACUUUUCUUCCAGCUUGGCAAGGGUCCCCGACAAAAGAGGCGCUAGAAGUUUUCUCACAACCACUGUAUGUUGUUGGACCAGUCAGUCUCCUGUCUAUCCAGAUGGAACGACUGACAUUGUCUCGGUUCCGACUAUAACAUGCUGAUGAUGGAAGUUGCCGAUCGAAAGGCCUUGGUUCCAGAGCGAUCCCGAGCCACCUGUAGCAUCAAGAUCAAGGUAAUGACGGUACAGUAGAUGGAUACGUCAUUGGCUGAAGCAGUGGUUACAGCGUGGUGAGGUCAAUGAUUGUAG